UAAGGCCAGAUCCUUUCUGAGGCAGGCACCCACCCCGCUGCCCACUGUGCUGUUCAUACAGCUGCGUGCGGAGAACCCGCAGCCCGGCUACGAGGAGAGAUUGCGGCAGGACAGAGGGAGGAGAAGGACCGAGAAUUGUUUGUGUUUCUCCCUCGAAGAAAGGAAACAUGCUGGGAGCCAGAUGACCACGCAGAUCCUCAGAGAUGGCAAGUCCAGACCAUGGAUUCCUGUGUCCCAAAAUGCAAAGAUGGACCUGGGGGAGGUGUCACCUGACGUGGCUGAAGAUCAUCCUGGGCUGGUACAGACCCCCCCUGUCCUCCGUCCUGUGCUGACGAGUCUCACCCACAACCCAGGCACAGAAAUAGAAGGGCAGUCAGAGAUCACAGGUGACACGGAACUAGAGUGGAAUGCUAAUACAUUCAAGGGAAAAAUCAGAAUCACAAAAGGUCUCUAGAAAGUCUGAAUGAACCAGCCCAUAGGAC